CGGCGGCUCGCGGCGCUGUGGCCGGCGGCUCUUCUCGCCCAUCCGCGGGCCGGGCGGGAGCGAGGCACAUCGGCUGAGCUUAACCAGUAUUAUAUCCUUGGAACUUAGGAGGAAAUGGGAAAAAUGCCAUACUCAAACACGUUUCAGGCUGAAAAAGCAAACCGCUCAAUGUCUGCAGUGCAUGAUCCAUAAUUUAGCAGGCGAGUUUCUCUCAUCCUCUAGUUCUUUUGUUCCCAUGAAUUGCUUAUUUCCUUUCUUUCUCUGUAUCAUUUUCUCUUGUAACUUUGUUGUUCUUUAACACCUUUUAAUUAUAGUAUGAAAUACAUAAGCAUGUAUUUAAAUACAUCUCAGUUCCUGCUGCUCUCAUCCUGGUUAUAAACGCAAUUUAAAAACCUUACUCAUAUUUAUGCACCAUUCAUCAAGCUUCUGAGAAGGAAAAAACUUUCCUGUAUGCCUUCCUUUACAAGUUUUCCUUCAUUUCCAUGCGUCAGGCCUGCUGCAGCUUUGCAGGCUUUGCCUGAAAAUGCAUAAGAAAAUGAAACAUCCAUGUUAAACAAAUGGAAAAUACACUGAGAGUACAGCCAGACAUUUUCUGAAAGCCAAACUUAGGACACUGCCUUUCCUUUGGUUCUUUAUCUAACCCAGUGAGUGCUGACUCUCUCCCAGGAUGGCAGUGAACUUCAGCAGGAGGCAGUAACGAUGUCUUAACAGUAACUGCCAUAGUAAUGGUGUGUCUUCUUUCCCCUCCUGCAGCAGGAUGGAGCACCUGGUUCUGCUUUGGAAGGUGAAACCAAGAGGUUUCUUGCUUAGGGACAACACUGUUGUACAUGUGGGGAUUCUUUACUGGGAAUCUUGUGGCAUCUUUGCUUGGCAUAUCCUCAGGAAUUGCUUUGAUAAUUGCUCCACUCUUUUUACACAAGGUGCUCAUUUGGUACUUGCCAAACCCUUCCAAUGUCCAUCUACAAUUCAUAACACUUUCUUGACACUUAUCAGGGAACCAAGUGAGCAGGGAACUAGCUGCAAAAGCUGCUUGCUCCCUGGGCUCCCUCCUUUGUUCAGAGGAGCUCAUCUGAACUUUUAUUACAAAAAAUACUCAAGAAUUAAGAUAAAGACUUUAAUCCAGUGUGACUUUCCACUCACAGGACUGCACCUGGAGCAUGGACCACAUGCACACAGUUCUGAAACAAUCCAGUGCUGCUCACAGCUCAUGUUUCAUUUCAGAGCCAAACUUGGAAAGCUCAGACUAGCAGUUGCAUUUUAAAGGAGCUGGUUUUGCCUUUUAAGUGUUUGAAUUUGAAGUUCAAAGUUAGUAUCUCAAAUUAAAGAAAGCUGAUAAUGUAUGGCAAUACAGAGGGCAUGAUGCCUUUAAUAGAAUUAUUAAACUGAAUUAAUGACUACGUUUUUCAAUAGGGAGAAAGAAGAGGGAGUAGAAAGGGGCCAUGAAAGUUAAUAUUUCUAUCCAAAGAAUUAAAAAAUCAGUUCUCCUGAUUGUUUUCAGUUAAUUAAUUCUAAGAAAAUUCUAAGAAAACAGAAUUUAUCAGUGAUGCUGUAGUAAAUGAGCAGCUCUCAGCAGUCUGCCAUCCUGAGUCUAUCAGCAUAUAUUCAAAUUCCCUGCUGGAGCAGGGGUUGGACCAGUAGGACCCAAACUUGUCCACAGCUUAGAAGCUCAAGAAUGCUCACUUCAGCAGAUAUUUUACUUAUUUUGGCUAACAAAAGAUAGAACAAAAUAAAAUAAAUGACCCAAAGCCGUUCAAGAGUAUUAGUACAUAAAUAGUAAUCAAGCUCAGUAACGUGAUCAGUGGCUAUUGUGAAAGCUGUUAUCUGUUAAUCACAGUUUAGUCAUUCCAGGUUGAUUUCAGAGCAACUUCUGUCAGUACCCCAAACCAGCUACAUUUCAUCUUAGCUGAAGUUAUCUUCAAAUGGCUUUCUAGAUUAGGUUUUGGUAAUUCAGGCUACAGAUUACAAUACAUUAACAGCCCAUUUAACAGCCAUAGCAGAUCCUACCUGGAAACUGAGACUGAGGAAAUAAAAGCAUCAGUUAUUGAUUCUAAACUUGCCUUCCAGUCAGAAUCAUUUUACCUUUUUGCCUCUGGUUUGGAGACAGACGAACUAAUUGAGAUUUCAUCAUGUCAUCAGGAGCAGCCAAAUUCAGAAACACCAGGAACACACAGGAGAACAGCAGUGAUUUUGCCCACAUCCAGUUGGCCGGCAGUGAAGAGGAGCGAUCCCAUGACUGUGCAGCACAGCCCAAAACAGCAUGAAGCAUUUCCGUUCCCAAUUCUACAAAAAGUCCUUUGUCACUUUGAGAAAGCUCCUUUAACAUCCUUUCAUAUCCCACUGGUCCCCUCUGAAAGCGGCCGCUAGAGAAGGUUUUGUGGGCUGAAGUCAGAUUUGGACUAGAUUAAUGCAUGAUGCUGAGUCUACAUGCAUACCAAACUAAUUGUGUUGCAAGACAACUAACACUUGGAUUUAUUCUAGGUAAUAUUUUAUUUGGGAUGGGGUGCAGCUCAAAUGGUAGAGGAAAAAGGCCAGAAAACUGUCGAGAUCAUUUAGUCUGGUAAGAGAUACAACUCAUUUCUCAAAAAAAAUGAAGUCCAGUCUUAGUCCAGUGCCACGGUGCCAUGUAGGUAUAGGCAAGUAGCUGGAAUGGUUAAUUGUGCCCCUAUCCCCCUUUAUAAAGUACCUUAUUUCCCAUUUGACUGAUGUUUUGAAUGGCAUCCCAUUUCAGCUCACAGGCAUUCAUCCUGUCAGACUCUAACUAUUGUGAUAAGAGCCUUUUAUUACCAAAUUUUAUCUCUGCAUAAAGUCAUUAGCUGAAGAACAAAGCCUGCAGCACUCACAAGCUGUGGAAGGUGGGAUAUUCCUCUUUACAUCCUUCUGUCUUCAUUCUGCGGUUUUCUCCAGCACAGAGAUGCAGUACAGGGUCUGGCAGGGGAUGAGUUUGUGGUGCUGGGGCUCAUACUGUCCAUUAUCAGAUCUGGAGCGCAGGUCCCAAAGCAGCACAUGCCCUCAGUUUAGCACAAGGCACCCCAUCUUUAGAGGGCCUUCACUCACAUACACUUCAGAGAGGCCAUGAGCUUCCUAGAAUUUGAAAUACAUAGGAUUCAGGCCAGCUCAGGAUUUACAACUUGCAUGGGUUAAGUAGUGGUAUUGGCACUUACUGUAUGUUUCCUUAUGGAGAAAGCAACAAAUGCAAGCGAACUUCAAUAGAAAUGAAACAAUGAUAAAAACAAACAUUGGGGAAAACAUCAGAGUACAAAUUUGUACUCCAAACAUUUAGACAGUGCUAAAUCUAGAUGUGUAUCAGGCUAAGCUAACCAGAGACAGGAAGAAAUUCAGAAAUUGUCAGUCCUAGAUGAAAAGUGCAUUAGGUGGUUUUCUUUUACGUAGCUACUUCAUAAGUGUCCCCUUCACAAAGCACACUUAAAAGCAGGUUCGUGGUGCAGGGGAAGCAGUUAACAGCACCAGCACCAUUUCCUUUGCAGUGAUUCUUCCAGCAGCGCAGCCGCCCUGUGCAGCACUGGUACAGCUGAUGGUGCCCCACACCCUUGCGGUUGCACUGACAGCUUUUUCUGCUCUGUAUUACAAAGCCUUCAGAGGCAGCAUUGGUUACACCAGAGGAUUCAUAGUUUUCUGAAAGGGCAACAGCUGCCCGUGCUCCACCUGAGUGCAGCUGAAGAGUUGAGGUCUGCAGCUGAGUGAACACAGCUUUUCUCCCUUACAUUAUUUAACAAUAAAAGGGAGACAGAGGCAAUAUGUGACUUUAGCCAAGGUACGAUUUUUCAGAAUAGUUUAGGGCAUGUUUUAUGUUCUGCAGGGGUUUUCCAUGACUUGGGAAAGCCUAAAUGUGUACUGAGAAACAUCUUCAACCUUCCCAUAAUAAAGGCCGUGAGUGACUGCAGCUACUUAAGACCUGCCUUGGUUUCUUUAAGGGCACUGUCAGUGGCAUUAGUGCAUUAAAUACAACAACAGUAAUCUGCCAGUAACCAAACAGACCUGGCAGAAAAGCACCACGGGUUUGUCAAACUUCAGUGAAAUUAAACACUUGUUCUGUCAUCUCUGUUCUUUACAAAUUACUGUGCAGCCUUCACACAUCUCAUGCUGUUAUCCCAACUGUGCACAGCAGUAAGAGCCUCUGCUGUUUAUAAAACACACUCAGGAACACAGCAAGCAAAUCGAGUGUUCAGCAGUGGUCAGAAGGCAACAGCCUUCACGUGCCCCACCAGCUCUCACUUCAGCCACCUCUUUCGCAUCCAUUCCAUUGCUCAGGCUCCACAGAACAGUUUGAGUUGGAAAGGACCUUUAAAAGUCAUCUAGUCCAGCUCCCACCCAGUGAAGAUGAACAGGGACUUGCUGUUUGCAUUCCACCCUUUGGCUCUUCAGCAAUAGACCGCAAAUAAAAACUCAUCAGUAUUGCUUUACCCUCACCCCCAGCAAAGAGCCUUCAUGUAACUUUUCCUUGGGGCCACUUGGGUCACAGCCUGGAGCCCCUGUCUCUGAAGAGGUUUCUCCCUCUUGCAUUCUGCCCAACCCACUGCUUCCAAGUCAGAUUUAUUGCAGCCUGCUCACAGUGUGCAGCAGUCACACAGGCACUGCCCAGACACACUGAGGCCAGACCACGCAGGGACCACCUCAUAGUUCCCAAACGGAGUUACCGAUCUGUGCCAGAAGACUUUAUGAUGACUUUUGCUCUGUUGUGACAGAUUGGGGAUUUCUCAGCCCACAGCCUGCCUGCCUGGCAUUAUCUCUUCACUCAUCUAUUUCUGUUCUCGUGUGCUUUACUCCCUCUGGCGCGUUGGCUGCACCUCCAGCCACAGUGCAAGGUGAGCACGUAGCAACACGGCUCAGCAGUCAGUCAGUGACACUCACUGACACUGGGAAGAUUUUCUUGGGGAAAGUAAAGAUAAAUGCCACUGUAUAUCACUCGUUAUAAGCUGGUAUUCUAUUCAUAAUGGUUCUCAAGAACCUCCUGCUCAUGAAAUGCACAAUAAUGAAACCAUCUUGACAAAAAGAGAAGACAUAUUGUAUAUACUGAAUGCUGCAUUUUUCACACACCUAAACUGCACUUGGGUUCUAAGGGCCUGAAGUUUUAAUUUUGCUCCUUGAGAACAACUAUGUAACAUACCUUUAAAAGUGAGGGGGUUUAUUUUUAGUCAUACUGGAGAUAAUGGAAAAAACCUCAAAUCCUAUCUAAAAUCUGGGAAAAAAUAAGCUAUGAAUGUCAGAACACCAUUUCCUUCCAGAAGAUUACCAAUGGUUUAUUAUUCCAAGCGUAUAUUUAGAAUAUUCCACUUUCAUAGUUGCUUUAAUAUCAACCACAUUAAAACAUUUCUGAUAGCUGAUUGACCGCCUCCAUAAGCAAAUCCCAAGCUCCCACACCUGUUCCAUUACACCGAGUGCUCACAGCAUCCUUCCCAUGUGUGCACACACACGUGGAGCCUCGGCACGUUUCUCAGGCACACAGACACUGCAUGAAGAACACGUGGCCCGAAACGUCAGCGAAACAAAAAAGCACACCCUGCUUUUAGAGCACUCGGUAGUGUCCCUGCAGCAGCCUGGUGAUUAAAAAUGGAGUUUUAAAACUCUGUGUUUCCUGUUCCUUUGGUGCUGAGCAGCUCUUGUGCCACGAGUUAGAAACCAAACAUCAAUAACGAUUCUCCCUGUUUUCUGCUGUAGGUCACCUACAUGAACGUACUUUAUUCCCCUACGCUUUGGGCAGACCAACUGAACAUUCUGGUUUGCACCCACGUUAGGUAACACUGUCAUCUUUCUUCUCUGAGGUUUUGUGGAGGUCUCAGGAACACACAGAGGACAAGAAACACCUGUGUGGUGGCUCAGCUAUCCAAGCAGCAUGGAAAAGGCGUUAAGAACUCGGGGGAGGGGGGGGGUUUAUUUUGCAAACAAAAGGAAAGUUCAUUUCCUCUGUUAGCUCUCCAGAGCAUUAGGUGCAAAAACACGCCUGGAGCUCGUGAAAGACCUUUACUUAUGUCUGAAUCUACCAAAAUUCUUCAUAGAGCCAUCUGAAAAACAUUUGAUUUCUCCUUUACAAAAUACUACAGAGCUUUUCUGAACCGUUUCAUCAAGAAGGCUGUUAAUAAAAAACACACAGACCAACAGAAAUUGUGAGCUAUAAUCAAAUCUUUUGUUUGGGUUUUUUGAGUUUGGGUUUUUUUUUCCCCAUAUAUUUGAAGAGUAUUGACAGAACAGUCAAAACUGCCUUCUUAUUGCAGCAGUAGUUAACUGUCCACAUGCUGACUGCUAUGUAAAUAAAUCCAGUGAUCAGCAAGUGAGCUUGGUAUAUUGCACACACCUGCAAGAAACCACAAGUACUUACACUGUAUCUCAUCUGAAUGCAGUCAUGGGACAUUCCAACAGUUUAGAAAAUAAAUGGGCACAAAUUCAUAACUGAAGCAUGAUGAAGGUUUGCUUUAGAAUGUAGGGAACAACAGUGAGGUGAAAACAAACACAAACGUCCUGGAUGGCAGCGAAUGCAGAAAGGACCAGACACUCAUUGCGUGUGCCACUGAGCUGGCUCCUAACAACCCAGGGCUCCUCCGCUCACUGUCUGGCCAUCCUGGCAAUAGACCACAACACAAAUGUUAAAAUAAUAACACUAAUAAAAAUAAGUAUGGAUUCCAGCUUAUUUUAGCCUAGAUGUUCUAACACAACAUCACCAUUCAUUCCUUGGCAUGGGGAUGGGAUGCCUGUGUGCUCCUACUGCGUUCCUUAAUCACCUCAACACUUUAUACUCUUUGCAAAGGUUAGGGCAGCAAGUUUGAUCUGACUAUAAGAAUUAAUUCCAACAAUCAUGUAAUUAUCCUGUUGCUGUAAUGACAAAUGCCUACACAGAACGACCCGAGAUCCCUGUGAGUGCUGUGUUAAUUGUUUUGUAUCCAGACAGAUUCCUCCGACAGUAUCUUAAAACAAGUUUAGCGUUGCAAAUGCAGCUCUACAUCUUCUUGCUGCAAAUCUACAGCUACACAAACUUCUGGGAAUAAACACUGCAAAGAACUUCCCACUGUUUCUCCUGAUCCCUCAAUUUACCGGUCCUAAGUCAAGUCCAAGUUCGUUGUUACAGAGAAGCCCUGAGGCUUCCUUCCUCAAGUCCAUCCCACAAAUUGCUGUUAGAGAACACUGGUUAAGGUGCAGACACUUCCAGGUAUCUUACCUGUUACAUGUGUGUUCAGUGGGUUUGAAUCUGAAGCAGCAAACAGUGGCAUGCAUUGCACUCCUAGGAGUUCAACUCCACUGAUAAUUAACAAUUCCUGUAUUAAAAACAUCAAGAAAAGUCAACUGUGGUUCUGCAUUUGUGCUUCAGCUUUAGUCUAGUGUACUUCUCAGCAUUAAUCAUGCCAGAUUGUUACUACUUAGAAUGUAACAAUCCUUUGGUGAUCUACUGAAAUUCUGGUUGGUUUUUGUUUGUUUGUUGUAACAUUUAUUAAAUAUUUAACCUCCUCAAAUGAUUUAAAUUAGCACACAGAACCGUCUCGAAUUCCUCCUAGCAUUUCUUACCACCAGUUCUGACUUCCUAUGGCAAAAGGCUGUUCCAAAAUCACCCUUAUAGGAUUUUUAGCAGCAUCAAAUCUUUAUUCCAAACAUGAGAGAGUAAGAUUGAUAUUGAUCUGAAAACUUAAUGCAUUCCCAUAAGACGACUGGUAUCACCACGCUCACUUUCUUCUUUUUCCAUGUCCCAGGAAACCCAGUGGUGCCUGCAUGGUAGAGGCCGCAGUACUGGCUCGACCUGUGGCUCUCCUCACUGGCACAAGUUAAGGAAGAAAACCCAACCCUUGUGAGCAGACAGCUUCUGCCUCUCCUGCACGCUUCACUGCUGAAUUGUUCAUCCCACAGACAAACAGGAACUGGCUUUUAUGCUUGAAGGGUGUUUAUAUUUUGCAUAAUUUAGUGAAGGCCCUAUCCUGCUUCCAUCAAGCUCAAAAGCAAAAGCAAGCUGUUACACUUGUGCCAAAGGGAGCCAAGGAGCCUCACAGACAGCCCUGACCAAAGGGCACGGGGGUCUGCCUGCCUGUCUUCAUCCAUUCAUCAGUGUAGUAAGUAGCAGCCCCUCAGCCUACACCAUGCUAAGAGAGGAAAGGGACAGGAUUCGCCCCACUCCAGAAACAGAUAUCAAAGCACUCCUACCUCUGCUCACCUGCCCUCACCAUUACCAACUUUAUUUACAUUGGUCAAAUAACUCCUGCUGCUCCCCCAAAGCAGGGGGAAAUCCUACACCCAACUGAAAUAGAUUGGAGAUUCACGAUCAUUGAGGUCCCUUCCAACCCCAGCCAUUCAGUGAUUCUGUGAAAUGCCCCACUUGGAAUGGGAUCCAUCUCUGAAGGUAGGCAGAGGGAGCAGCCCCAGGCACAGAGGGCAGCAUGCACUGCUGGAUUUAACCUGCAGAGAAAGGAAAAGAAACAAAGGAGAAGAUUAGGAAAGCUCUGACUGUGAGUAAAUCCGUUUUCUUUCAUGUGUUCACUAAUAUUCUCCUGCUGCUCCGAAAUAUGAUGCUCUAGGUUUAUUCUCAUCUCUGAAUAAAGAUGGACGCUUUUCUGUGCUCAAGUAA